CACCACGCGGCUCUGAGCGGGACGGAGCUCAGGCCCUGCCAGCGACGCGCUCGGUUCCUGCUUGCUGAGAAACUGCAGCAAUACACGCAUUGCUGUGUUUGCCAUCCAUGUGGAGAAUGAAGGCUAUUCAGAGGAGGAAUGACAGUUACAGGCUGGUGGCAUGCAGGCUCUGGAGUUAAUGUUGCCACCUGGAACCUUUUAACUUCAUCUGCAAACAAUUUUCAGUGUUUCAGCAACAUUACUCCAGUGAUUUCAAACCAAUCGGUCAGAGACACAAGGAGCCAAUGAAAAAAAGCUUCUCUCCA